rnacentral:rRNA from 1 species
UACGUAGGGCGCAAGCGUUAUCCGGAAUUAUUGGGCGUAAAGAGCUCGUAGGCGGCUUGUCACGUCGGGUGUGAAAGCCCGGGGCUUAACCCCGGGUCUGCAUUCGAUACGGGCAGGCUAGAGUGUGGUAGGGGAGAUCGGAAUUCCUGGUGUAGCGGUGGAAUGCGCAGAUAUCAGGAGGAACACCAAUAGCGAAGGCAGCUCGCUGGGACGGUACUGACGCUAAGGCGCGAAAGCGUGGGGAGCGAACAGG